AUGCCUUUUGACAGUGGAGCACUACGGAAUUGCAAGCGCUCCCGUGACAGCGCUUUGAUGUGUGCUGCAUUCUGUGACUCGGUCCAGUCCAAGGAAUCCGAAGUGUCUGGAUCAGCUGGAGGUUCUGUGACACUCAGCUGUUCUUACACCACCAGCGAUAGCUAUGCCUAUCUCCACUGGUACCGUCAGUAUCCGAACCAGGCCCCGCAGUACAUUCUCUGGAGAGGAGCGAAGUCAGCCAGCCGCCAAAGCCACACUGCAGAUUUCGCCCAGCAGAGGUUUUCUUCCCAGGCUAAUGACAGCGCCACAGCUCUGAACAUCACAGCCCUGGAGCUGGCGGACAGCGCGGUGUAUUACUGCGCCCUGCAGAGAGCACAGUGA